AACGAACGCUGGCGGCAUGCCUAACACAUGCAAGUCGAACGAGGCCUUCGGGUCUAGUGGCGCACGGGUGCGUAACGCGUGGGAACCUGCCCUUAGGUUCGGAAUACCUCCCCGAAAGGGGUGCUAAUACCGGUUAAUGUCUUCGGACCAAGGAUUUAUUGCCUUUUGAUGGGCCCGCGUUGGAUUAGCUAGUUGGUAGGGUAAAAGCCUACCAAGGCGACGAUCCAUAGCUGGUCUGAGAGGAUGAUCAGCCACACUGGGACUGGGACACGGCCCAGACUCCUACGGGAGGCAGCAGUGGGGAAUAUAGGACAAUGGGCGAAAGCCUGAUCCAGCAAUGCCGCGUGAGUGAUGAAGGCCUUAGGGUUGUAAAGCUCUUUUACCCGGGAUGAUAAUGACAGUACCGGGAGAAUAAGCUCCGGCUAACUCCGU
rnacentral:rRNA from 1 species